UACGGGGGGGGCAAGCGUUGUUCGGAAUUACUGGGCGUAAAGGGCUCGUAGGCGGCCAACUAAGUCAGACGUGAAAUCCCUCGGCUUAACCGGGGAACUGCGUCUGAUACUGGAUGGCUUGAGGUUGGGAGAGGGAUGCGGAAUUCCAGGUGUAGCGGUGAAAUGCGUAGAUAUCAGGAGGAACACCAGUGGCGAAGGCGGCUUUCUGGACGGUAACUGACGCUGAGACGCGAAAGCGUGGGGAGCAAACAGG
rnacentral:rRNA from 1 species